rnacentral:rRNA from 1 species
AUGGCUCAGGAUGAACGCUAGCUACAGGCUUAACACAUGCAAGGUCGCGGGGCAUCAUGGUGUGUAGCAAUACACACUGAUGGCGACCGGCGGAUGGGUGAGUAACGCGUAUCCAACCUGGCCCUAUCUCGGGCACAGCCCCUCGAAAGAGGGAUUAAUUCCCGAUGUUCCCACGAGUUCGCAUGUUCUUGUGGGCAAAGGCCUUUGCCGGAUAGGGAUGGGGAUGCGUUCCAUUAGGCAGUCGGCGGGUAACGGCCCACCGAGCCUUCGAUGGAUAGGGGUUCUGAGAGGAAGGCCCCCCACACUGGGACUGAGACACGGCCCAGACUCCUACGGGAGGCAGCAGUGAGGAAUAUUGGUCAAUGGCGGCAACGCUGAACCAGCCAAGUAGCGUGAGGGAUUACGGCCCUAUGGGUUUUAAACCUCUUUUGUUGGGGAGCAACCUGUGCCACUAGUGGCACACUGCGAGUACCCUUCGAAUAAGCAUCGGCUAACUCCGUGCCAGCAGCGGC